CGGAGGAAAAGAAACCAACAGGGAUUGCCUCAGUAACGGCGAGUGAAGCGGCAAGAGCUCAAAUUUGAAAUCUAGUACCUUCGGUGCUCGAGUUGUAAUUUGAAGGUAGUUUUCUGGUGCUGGCCCUUGUCUAUGUUCCUUGGAACAGGACGUCAUAGAGGGUGAGAAUCCCGUCUGAUGGGGUGUCCAGUGCUUUGUAGAUUUCUACCGAAGAGUCGAGUUGUUUGGGAAUGCAGCUCUAAGUGGGUGGUAAAUUCCAUCUAAAGCUAAAUAUUGGCGAGAGACCGAUAGCGAACAAGUACAGUGAUGGAAAGAUGAAAAGAACUUUGAAAAGAGAGUGAAAAAGUACGUGAAAUUGUUGAAAGGGAAGGGUAUUGGAUCAGACUUGGUGUUUUGUGAUUAUCUUCCCUUCUUGGGUUGUGCACUCGCAUUUCACUGGGCCAGCAUCGAUUCGGAUGGUAAGAUAAUGGCUUGAGAACGUGGCACUCUUCGGGGUGUGUUAUAGCUCUUGUUGAUGUUGCCUAUCUGGAUCGAGGACUGCGGCUUUUGCCUAGGAUGCUGGCGUAAUGAUUCAAUACCGCCCGUCUUG
rnacentral:rRNA from 1 species